rnacentral:misc_RNA from 1 species
GCCCAUGAUGGUUUCAUGCGUGUCAGCUGAGAUCCCCUGAUUAGAACCACCCUUGAGGUUUGACUAACUGAGGC